GACGUAGGGGGCGAGCGUUGUCCGGAUUUAUUGGGCGUAAAGCGCGCGUAGGCGGCCCCGGAAAGUCGGAUGUGAAAUCCCGGGGCUCAACCCCCGGGCCUGCAUCCGAUACUCCCGGGCUGGAGGCAGGUAGGGGAGAUCGGAAUUCCUGGUGUAGCGGUGAAAUGCGCAGAUAUCAGGAGGAACACCGGUGGCGAAGGCGGGUCUCUGGGCAACAACUGACGCUGAGGAGCGAAAGCGUGGGGAGCGAACAGG
rnacentral:rRNA from 1 species